GACGAACGCUGGCGGCGUGCUUAACACAUGCAAGUCGAACGAAGAGCGAUGGAAGCUUGCUUCUCUCAAUCUUAGUGGCGAACGGGUGAGUAACGCGUAAUCAACCUGCCCUUCAGAGGGGGACAACAGUUGGAAACGACUGCUAAUACCGCAUACGAUCUAACCUCGGCAUCGAGGAUGGAUGAAAGGUGGCCUCUAUUUAUAAGCUAUCACUGAAGGAGGGGAUUGCGUCUGAUUAGCUAGUUGGAGGGGUAACGGCCCACCAAGGCGAUGAUCAGUAGCCGGUCUGAGAGGAUGAACGGCCACAUUGGGACUGAGACACGGCCCAGACUCCUACGGGAGGCAGCAGUGGGGAAUCUUCCGCAAUGGACGAAAGUCUGACGGAGCAACGCCGCGUGAGUGAUGACGGCCGUCGGGUUGUAAAGCUCUGAUAAUCGGGACGAAAGGCCUUCUUGCGAAUAGUUAGAAGGAUUGACGGUACCGGAAUAGAAAGCCACGGCUAACUACGUG
rnacentral:rRNA from 1 species